AACGCACCUUGCACUCUUUGGUAUUCCGAAGAGUAUGUCUGUUUGAGUGUCGUGAAACUCUCAACCCCCCUGUUUUGUAAUGAGACGGGCGUUUGGGCUUGGAUUAUGGCUGCUGCGGGCGCUUUAAUUAGCACCGGCUCAGCUGAAAUACAUGAGCAACGUUUGAAUACCGGACGGCUUGACUCGGCGUAAUAACUAUUUCGCUGGGGACGUUCACCUUUCAAAGGCUGCUUCCAAUGCGGCUGGCUUGAAACAAUAGUCACCACUUUUAAGCUUUAGACCUCAAAUCAGUCAGGACUACCCGCUGAACUUAA
rnacentral:misc_RNA from 1 species